AGUGAAUGCUGGCGGUAGGCCUAACACAUGCAAGUCGAACGGCAGCACAGUAAGAGCUUGCUCUUACGGGUGGCGAGUGGCGGACGGGUGAGGAAUACAUCGGAAUCUACUUUUUCGUGGGGGAUAACGUAGGGAAACUUACGCUAAUACCGCAUACGACCUACGGGUGAAAGCAGGGGAUCUUCGGACCUUGCGCGAUUGAAUGAGCCGAUGUCGGAUUAGCUAGUUGGCGGGGUAAAGGCCCACCAAGGCGACGAUCCGUAGCUGGUCUGAGAGGAUGAUCAGCCACACUGGAACUGAGACACGGUCCAGACUCCUACGGGAGGCAGCAGUGGGGAAUAUUGGACAAUGGGCGCAAGCCUGAUCCAGCCAUACCGCGUGGGUGAUGAAGGCCUUCGGGUUGUAAAGCCCUUUUGUUGGGAAAGAAAAGCAGCAGGUUAAUACCCCGCUGUUCUGACGGUACCCAAAGAAUAAGCACCGGCUGACUUCGUG
rnacentral:rRNA from 1 species